UUUCUGCAUUUACCAUGCAACCCUGCAGUUUUAUUUGGAAUUUUCAUAGGUGGUGACUGACCCUCCUGGGCCAUAAUCAGUCUCAUAGCGAAUUCAUAAAUUGGGAUCCUGUUUUGGAAAUCUGUUUCCUUUCUGUUGGAAUAAGAAAUUAGUUAAUCAGGACCUCGAGAUUUCUCGAGGUGUGAGAAAAGAGUUUAAAACCAGGAAAACUAAUGAGGGACCUUAGGAAAAGUUAUGAAAACAUGGGACCAAACCUGAGAAGCGAAUCCACCACAAAUCAGAUGUGUGUGUGUGUGUGUGUGUGUGUGUGU